rnacentral:lncRNA from 1 species
GCAAACUGGAGCAUGGUCCAUGACCGGAGGUGUUUGCAUCUUGAAGUUUGUUCACCCUGUGACGUAGGUCGUCACAACCUGGCCAGCGAAAUCCGGAAUUCUAAGUAUGAAAAACGAACCAAAAUGUCCAAUUUUUUUGCUUAAAUCAACUCAUGAUAUAAUUUCAAGCACUUUUUAUAAGAAUGACUUUUUUCCAUAAAUCACACCAUUUCCGAGAAAAUUGAUGAUAAAAGUCGCUGUACUGACCUACGUCAUCAAAAAAAUCCAAGAUGCCCGAAAUGCAAACACCUCCUUUUUUUUCUCCAUGCAUGACCGGAGUUCCAAAUGGUUCCAAGUCAACUGUCAAGUCCAUGCUCCUAACCUAACCCUAACUGAACUAAAAGUGUAUAAGUCUAAAGGUAACCGUGGAAGUAUCAUGCCUCCCUGAACUCAGAAGGCAUUCUUUAAUCUUGCGAGCAAGGAUCAUCAUUCAACACCAUGUAUCCAGUGUCAAGAAAACUACCAAGGUUUUCCAGGUUCUUGAGGACCUUCUCAGACCUUGCUCCAUCAAUUCACUACAAGAUCGAAGAAAAUUCGUUAGAUAAGCUGAGAAAAUUGAAAGAAAAUGAAUUGAAAAAGAAAUUUUCAUGGUCCAGCUUAUGCCAAUUCAUUGAAAAUAUUGAUGGACCCAACUUAGAAGUCGCCGAAAAUCUUGAAAAACUUCUUGCAGAUGUGAAGGAAUUAAUGGGAGAUGAUGAAGUAAUGGAAGUGGUUGAAGAUGCUACAAUAUUUGUUUUAAAUUGUUUAUGAAUGAGAGUACCAUGUUGAUGAAACAUACAAUGAACUUGAAAAAACUGUUUGGGCCUAUAUCAUUCCAACAAUCCAGCAGACUUUUUGAGGUUUGUGCACUAUAUAUAUCUGUUACUAUGAAGUUUGUAGGCGAAAAAUAGUGAGUAUGUGAGAGGGAAUAUUAGUCAGAGAGAGGUAUGUGGCCUCUAAAGUCGAAUUCUAUGAUAAGAGGGUGGUGUGCGCAAGCAUUUAGGUGACGUGAAUUGAAGAAAACUGUAUGAGCCAUAAAAUGCUCGAUGAAGGGGGCCGGGGACCUCGGCGAAGCCACGGUCAACUACUCUUGGUGGCAUUUGGGUCUUUCCGCCAGCAGCGCGGAAAGCAACCGAAGGAAUGUCCCCUCAGGCUACUCUCAGGCGAUAACGCCCGAGACACA